UACUGGCAGCACAAGUGGUAUCCACGAAUAUUGGGUCUAAAGAGUCCGUAGCCGGUCCUUUAAGUCUUCUGUGAAAUCUUGAGGCUUAACUUCAAGGCGUGCAGAAGAUACUGCUGGACUUGAGAGUGGGGGAGGUCAGGAGUACUUAUGGGGUAGUGGUAAAAUACUGUAAUCCUAUAAGGACUUCCAGUGGCGAAGGCGCCUGACCAAAACACGUCUGACGGUGAGGGACGAAGGCUAGGAGAACGAAUCG
rnacentral:rRNA from 1 species